UACAGAGGGGGCAAGCGUUGUUCGGAAUUACUGGGCGUAAAGGGCGCGUAGGCGGCCUUCUAAGUCGAACGUGAAAUCCCUGGGCUCAACCCAGGAACUGCGUCCGAUACUGGAAGGCUUGAAUCCGGGAGAGGGAUGCGGAAUUCCAGGUGUAGCGGUGAAAUGCGUAGAUAUCGAGAGGAACACCUGUGGCGAAGGCGGGUCUCUAGACAGUUCCUGACGCUGAGGCACGAAAGCCAGGGUAGCAAACGGG
rnacentral:rRNA from 1 species